UCUGACACAGGUGCUGCAUGGCUGUCGUCAGCUCGUGUCGUGAGAUGUUGGGUUAAGUCCCGUAACGAGCGCAACCCUUGUCCUUAGUUACCAGCACGUUAUGGUGGGCACUCUAAGGAGACUGCCGGUGCAAACCGGAGGAAGUGGGGUGACGUCAAGUCAUCAUGGCCCUUACGGCCUGGGCUACACACGUGCUACAAUGGUCGGUACAAAGGGUUGCCAAGCCGCGAGGUGGAGCUAAUCCCAUAAAACCGAUCGUAGUCCGGAUCGCAGUCUGCAACUCGACUGCGUGAAGUCGGAAUCGCUAGUAAUCGUGAAUCAGAAUGUCACGGUGAAUACGUUCCCGGGCCUU
rnacentral:rRNA from 1 species